GUACGUACUGGCAUUGUUGGUUUCUCCCUUCUGACGAACCAUGAUGUCAUUUAUUUGGUGUUGUGGGGAAUCAGGACUGUUACUUUGAAAAAAUUAGAGUAGUUUAAAGCAGGCUCACGCUUGAAUACAUUAGCAUGGAAUAAUGAAAUAGGACGUUUGAUUCUAUUUUGUUGGUUUCUAGGAUCGACGUAAUGAUUAAUAGGGAUAGUUGGGGGCAUUAGUAUUCAAUUGUCAGAGGUGAAAUUCUUGGAUUUAUUGAAGACUAACUACUGCGAAAGCAUUUGCCAAGGAUGUUUUCAUUAAUCAAGAACGAAAGUUAGGGGAUCGAAGACGAUCAGAUACCGUCGUAGUCUUAACCAUAAACUAUGCCGACUAGGGAUCGGAUGAUGUUAAUUUUUUAAUGACUCAUUCGGCGCCUUACG
rnacentral:rRNA from 1 species